rnacentral:RNase_P_RNA from 1 species
GAGGAAAGUCCGGGCUCCACAGGGCAGGGUGCCAGGUAACGCCUGGGCGGCGCAAGCCGACGACAAGUGCAGCAGAGAGGAAACCGCCUAAGCGCGCAAGCGCCGGUAAGGGUGAAAGGGUGCGGUAAGAGCGCACCGCACCACUGGUAACAGUGUGUGGCAAGGUAAACUCCACCCGGAGCAAGACCAAAUAGGAUCUCUUAUGGCGUGGCCCACGUUGAGAUCGGGUGUGUUGCUUGAGCCAGCGAGUGAUUGCUGGCCUAGAUGAAUGGUUGUCCACGACAGAACCCGGCUUA